AAAUAAGGCAAUAUGACACAGGUGGCACCAGCUGGGUCCCUCAACGAGGGAGAGAGAAAUUACAAAAAGUAAGACCAGGCAAAUCUCAGCAUGCUUGUAGCUUGAUGCAACGGACCCGGAGAGAGCAAUGCCCGGAGCAGAAAACACCCCCGAGGCUGUGUCCAGGCACAGUGUCCAGGCACAGUGUCCACUGUGUCCAGGCGGAGCGCGCGCGAGAGGAGCCACUCCCACGUUCCCUGCAGCUCAGCCCCCAGUCACAGCUGCGGGGAAGCAACGAGACAGCGGCCCCUGGAGGAUGCUCAGCACCUGACCCUACCCGAGGGCGAUGUGUUGUUUCCCCAUUAUCAUCGUCGUCAUCACUGCCAUCUUCACCCUGUGUCCUGCUCAGCUCAACGAGACAGGCCUGGCGCACUGGACAAAGAGAGCGGUGCCGGCCUAGCAGACAUCUGUGAGCUUGUGACACUGAGAAGUUCUUUACCGCAAAGUAAGAUGUAAAAAGCCGGCCAACCUUCUCCCCCACUCCAGUCACCGGAGGCAGGCAAGGACGCGAGUCCAGUGGGGCAGCAGCUCCUCAGCGGGGACCCUGGCCUGGAUCCCAUCACCAGAAGGCUCGUGUCUUGACACCAAGAGCAGGAAGCUUGGGAGUGCAAAUCAAAGAGCGGUGGCCACUUCCCUGGUGUCUCUGAGACAGGACGUGGCAGCUCAACCUCUGAAUCCCAGGAUGAAGGUGCAAACGUGGCUCCAGGGGUCUGCCUUCCAACAGACACAGCUGUGGCACCUGGACGCUUCCAGCACACGGGAAAGCAAGGCCCAAGGGAGUGACAACCUCCUGUCGAAGCGGCAGUGACAUCCAGGUCGUGCUCAGGUGGAAUCCUGAGAGUAAGAGCCCAUCGCCAGGGGCCACAGCCGUGACGCCUGGCAGAACGGCCACGGUUGUCCUAGGAGGAAUCAGGCGCAACAGCACAGCUGAGCCCGGAGGACCUCGCGGUAAGGGAAAUACUCCAGGCACAGAAACACAAAGCCUGCGGGCUCUCACCUGUGUGUGGAAUCCAGUAAAAAAGUCCAACUCCUAGAAACUGAGAGAGGAACGGGGUGACCGGGUGGGGGUGGAGGAAGCAGGGAGCUGCCUUCAACAGGCACGGGCUUCGUGUCUGGUGUUUGCAGAGCCGGCCUUCGUUGUCUGGAGAGCCACACCCAGCUGCUGCAGCUGCAAGGUGCAUGGCUCGGGGUGGGGGGGGCAGCGACAGCAGACAGUGGGGAGAGAGACCAGAGACUGCCGACGUGGGCGGACACAAAAGGACACACAGGACAGAAAACAGGAGAACACGGCAGCCCGGAAGCCAGGUGAAAACACGCGUUCUGGAAAGGAGGGAGCCGGCGGCUCUGCUGGGCCGUGAGCGAGGAUGCUGACAGGUCAAGUGCUUUGCGGUGACCUCGGGCAAACAGUGCUAAGUGGCAGGAGGAAUCGCGAUCACUCUUCAUUUUUUUCUAAUGUUUUUCACAGCUUCCAAAUAUUUGGACUUGGCCUGGGCAACUUUUCCUGUUUAGACAUUAUGGCCCCAUUUAAUUUUCAGAACAUUUUCUAAAUCUCAAAAUAUGCUAACCACUGAAGGAUGUCAACAUUGAGAAAUGAGAAAAUAAAGCAAGGACUAUAUAUA